rnacentral:SRP_RNA from 1 species
GGUUGGGUCCUGCGCAACGGAGUCCCGUGAAUCGAGUCAGGGCCGGAAGGCAGCAGCUCUCAGCGGACGGCGCCGUGUGCCAGCCUGACCGUCUCAC